rnacentral:circRNA from 1 species
AACUUGAUAGCCCAGAAGAGUUAGGGAAAAAGCGUAUCUGCAGGAUUAUCACGAAAGAUUUCCCCCAGUAUUUUGCAGUGGUUUCCCGGAUUAAGCAGGAAAGCAACCAGAUUGGUCCUGAAGGUGGAAUUCUGAGCAGCACCACAGUGCCCCUUGUUCAAGCAUCUUUCCCAGAGGGUGCCCUAACUAAAAGAAUUCGAGUGGGCCUCCAGGCCCAGCCUGUUCCAGAUGAAAUUGUGAAAAAGAUCCUUGGAAACAAAGCAACUUUUAGCCCAAUUGUCACUGUGGAACCAAGAAGACGGAAAUUCCAUAAACCAAUCACAAUGACCAUUCCGGUGCCCCCGCCCUCAGGAGAAGGUGUAUCCAAUGGAUACAAAGGGGACACUACACCCAAUCUGCGUCUUCUCUGUAGCAUUACAGGGGGCACUUCGCCUGCUCAGUGGGAAGACAUCACAGGAACAACUCCUUUGACGUUUAUAAAAGAUUGUGUCUCCUUUACAACCAAUGUUUCAGCCAGAUUUUGGCUUGCAGACUGCCAUCAAGUUUUAGAAACUGUGGGGUUAGCCACGCAACUGUACAGAGAAUUGAUAUGUGUUCCAUAUAUGGCCAAGUUUGUUGUUUUUGCCAAAAUGAAUGAUCCCGUAGAAUCUUCCUUGCGAUGUUUCUGCAUGACAGAUGACAAAGUGGACAAAACUUUAGAGCAACAAGAGAAUUUUGAGGAAGUCGCAAGAAGCAAAGAUAUUGAG